AAGGGUAUAGCUCAGAGGUGGAGCACAUGCUUAGCGUGCACGAGGUCAUGGGUUCAAGUCCCAGUAUCUCCA
rnacentral:tRNA from 1 species